UACGUAGGGGGCAAGCGUUGUCCGGAAUUAUUGGGCGUAAAGCGCGCGCAGGCGGUCUUUUAAGUCUGGGGUAUAACCUUGGGGCUCAACCCUGAGUGGCCCUGGAAACUGGGAGACUGAGAGUGCAGGAGAGGAAAGCGGAAUUCCACGUGUAGCGGUGAAAUGCGUAGAGAUGUGGAGGAACACCAGUGGCGAAGGCGGCUUUCUGGCCUGUAACUGACGCUGAGGCGCGAAAGCGUGGGGAGCAAACAGG
rnacentral:rRNA from 1 species